rnacentral:misc_RNA from 1 species
GCAAACUUGGUCAUUUAGAGGAAGUAAAAGUCGUAACAAGGUCUCCGUAGGUGAACCUGCGGAGGGAUCAUUUCUGAAUCCAGGCCGGCGUGCCCUUUGGUUGGAUGGCCGAAUGGCCUCCCUCCACAAGGGCCCCGACUUGCCUCUUUCAAACCUGUGGGCAGAGAUGUGGAUUGGCGACCCCCCAAAAGGGGCGCCACUUCAAUGCAGCCAAGCAUUUUGUGUCUGAGUUGAUAUAAUACCUUUAAAACUUUCAACAACGGAUCUCUUGGCUCUUGCAUCGAUGAAGAACGCAGC